rnacentral:lncRNA from 1 species
CUAAAUAGUUAAAUUGCAAAUAUAGUCUUCUUGAUCUUGACUCCUUUAAAGCAUUCCAAUGUUAUGAUGUUAACUAGGAAAUCAUCCUCGUUAAGCAUGCUUAUCCGGCUUGUAUCAUCCUUCCUCUGAAAGAAAUUCGACCUCAAAUUUGGACCUUGCAAAACCAAGAAAGGUACAAACAUAAGUACCAAGCCAGUCACAAUCAAAGCAUUGUAUGUCCAAGCUAAAAAUCAAAGUGCUCAACCUUGCACUCAAAAGUAACACUCUUAUGAUAUAGCCAAGUGUUAUAAACUAGAAAGAACAUAUCUUCAACAAAAAGUUGACUAUAAGAAAAAUAAUAUCCAUGAGAAGAAUCACGAGAGUAGAAAGUCCCAUACUUCCAACAAAACCACAAUUUUGUAAAAUGCUCAACAAAGUGCACACUUUUAUGGUAUAACCAAGUGUCAUAAGAAACAAUAAAAAGCAUACCCUCCAAUCCAAAGAAAGACACUUUACCAUAAUAAGAAACAACUUCGGGGUCAAAAACAAACUUUAAUACCCAAGUAUCCACAUACUUUCCAACAACAACUUCACAUGGCAACUUAAGAGAUAGGCCAAGUUCAUCAUGAAUCAUCAUACAAAGAAUAUCAAAAUACUCAAAGUUAUGCAUCUUUACCUCAAUGGCCUUAGAUAAACACAAGAUAAGCAUAAGCUAAAUGUACAUAUCAUCCUUGCUUUUAGGCAAAAGAAAACGCUUUUGACAAAAUAUAUGUCGAAGAGUUAGUUCAACGCUUUCCUUACCCUUAACAACUUUCUCUUGUUGAACCUUCACAAAAUAAUCAAUAAAGUUAGGUUCUUUUUUCUCACAAUGAUCAUUCAAAACACCAAAAGAAAUAUUCUUACCUUUUCUCAAAGAAGCAUUAGUAAAAUCUAACGAGAAUGUUCUUUCAAAAGUAGGAAUAAGAUAAGUAAAGUAACUAAUACUAGUGCUAGCAUCAAAAACUUUACUUUCCUUUUUACUCUCAACCAAAUCAUCACCACAUUCACAUUCGCUCAUUUCAUCAUUAAAAUUGAAUCUUUCUUCCAAAGGAAUGGAAAUAGAAUCAAAAUAUUCAUCAACACAUUCUUCUUGACUCAUUUCUUUAUAAAGAUCAGAACUUUCUUCCCACAAAGUUAAAAUAGAGUCAAAAGAAUCAUCACAUACAUCAUCCCAUAUAGGUGGACUAUCAUAAGACUCAACAUCACUCACAUCACUAGCUAAAGAGUCAUUAAACAAAAGAGCUAGAAGUAUCCAACAAUACACAAGAACUCUUAACUAGUUGCAAGCCACCAUUAUCUUUCACAUCACAAGAUAAAGAAAUAUCAAACUCAUCAAUGUCAGAGUUAUCUUUCAAACUCAAAGUAUUACCACAAUCAACUAAAGUACUAAGAGUAGAAGGAUAAGCUAUUUUACCUUGAAACUCGUCUAAAGUAUUCUCUUUACCUUGCACUUUCUCAUUUAAUUCCACAAGUCCUCUUGAAAAGGUAAAUUGAUCUUCUUCCAAGCUCUUCAAAGUGAAUUGAAUUUCACUUGAUGGUUCCUCUCCAAAAGUCCCUACACAAGAUACAAAACUAGAGAAAGAAGAAAGGUUAGUAGCAUUAGAAUAAGGAAAAUCCUCACUCUCUUUUUGUUUUCCCUCUUUUUUUUUCUCAUUUUCUUUUCAAGCUCUUCACUCUUUUUUUGUGACAACUCACUCACUUCUAUCCACUUUUCCUCUUCUUUUUCCACUCUAGAGUUGUCACUUUUCUCUCCCUUACUUCUCUCUAUCUUUUGUCCGUCAUCCUUACUUUUUCUCUUUGUAUUUUUCAAGGAUGUUCUUUUUUGGAAAAGGUAACAUAUUUGUAUAUUCAUAUAAAGACUUCACUAAAAUUGUGAAGUCACCCAUAAUUACAAUGUAAGUGCCCAUAUAAAACUACACAAAAAGGGCUCUUUUCUGCCUUAUUCUCUUACAAUGAGUCUAAGGCAUCUAAAAUGGAUACACUAUCCUCCAAAAGUUUUCCUUUACACCAAAAAUAAAAAAGAGCUAAACAUUUCAUCUUUAUCUUCGGAAUGUUGUUGGAUUUAUCCUCAAAGCAUUUUUGGUUUCUCUCUUUCCACACUGUCCACUAUAUACAAGCUGGGACAAUUCUCCAUCUCUCUUUGUCUCUCGAAAGUGAGCCCUCUUUAUUCCAGCUAGCUAGAAUAUCAAGGAUUCUUUCCGGCAUUGCCCAUGGAAUUCCCCUUAGACUGAUAAAAAUCCUCCAUAUCUGUAUAGUGAAGCUGCAAUGCAAAAAGAGAUGACUAAUUGUCUUUGCCUUCUCACCACAUAGGUAACACUUAGAGCACAUCUGGAAUCCUCUUCUUGUUAGGUUGUCAUGUGUUAGGACUGCUUCUUUAGCUAAUAGCCAAGUAAAACAAGUAACCUUGUAUGGAACUUUAACUUUCCAUAUCAUCUUCCAUGGCCAGCAUCCAAUCUGAUUGUUGGUUAGAUUGUAUUCCUUGUAGGCACUCUUUACUAAGUACUUCCCAUGUUCAUUUCAUUGCCAUAUGAUAAGAUCUUGGCUAGCACUGGUACCACUGAAUUGUUCCAAGGUCCUAUAGAAUUCAAUUACUCUAUCGAUCUCCCAAUCAUUUAGCAUUAUUCGGAAGGUGAGGUCCCACCCCUGAGCUGUCCAUACCUCUUCUAUAGUUGCUUCUUUUUGUUGAUUCAGAUAUUGGAUGUCAGGGAAUAGCUCCUUCAAGGUUCCUUGUCCUAGCCAAUAGUCAUACCAUAGUGAUAUUUUGCUACCAUUGCCCACUUUGAACUUUGACUUGUUGAUCAUUUUUGACCAUAAGUUUCUGAUUGAUCUCCACAAACUGACUCCAUAUGGAUUUCUCACUAGCUUGGAUGUCCAGUUCCCUUCAUUUCCAUAUUUCUCCCUAAUGACCUCUGACCAGAAGGUUUGUUCAUCUGCUGCAAGUUUCCAUAGCCACUUCAUCAUCAAAUUUUGGUUCUGCACUCUCAGGUUCUUUAUUCCCAAUCCCCCUGCCGUUUUGCUGAUUGUCAGAUCAUUCCGUCUAACUAGAUGGAACUUCUUCUUUUCACUAUUACCUUCCCACAGAAAAUUCCUUCUUAAAGCAUCAAUUCUCUUUACUACAUAAGCUGGAAUUGGGAACAGAGACAUCAUAUAUGUAGGUACAACAUCAAGGAUUGAAUUGAUCAAAACCAGUCUACCCCCCAUAGAUAAGUAUUGAUUCUUCCAGUUUGCAAGUUUCUUCUCACAUUAUUCCAACACAGUAUUCCAUAUACCUUUAGACUUGCUUUUUGCACCCAAAGGCAUCCUCAAGUAUACAGUAGGAAGUUCCCCUACUCUUCCCCCCAGAAUGUUAGCCACAUUUUGUAUUUCCAGCACCUCAUUAACAGGGUAGAUGUAGCUUUUUUGCCAGUUAAUGUAAAGACCAGAGAUUGCUUCAAAAAGAAUGAAAAUCACCCUCAUUACCUUUACUUGUUCUCUUUUAGCUUCACAGAACACUAAGGUAUCAUCCGCAUACUGUAGGUGUGAUAUUCUCUUGUGACUAUCAGUCUUGCUACUCACUUUAAAGCCUUUUAUCCAGUCCUUUGUUUGAGCUACCUUUAGCAUGUCAUUCAAUCCUUCCAUGACAAUAAUGAACAGAAAAUGGGGGAGAGGAUCCCCUUGUCUAAGCCCCCUUUGAGAAGGAAAGAAACCAGUUGGUGCUUCAUUGAUCAAUAUUGAGUAACUUACUGUAGAGAUGCAGAACUUUAUCCAUCUGGUCCACUUUUCUCUAAAGCCCAUCAUUCCUAGUGUGUCAAGAAGGUAUUUCCAAUUCAAAUGGUCAUAUGUUUUCUCAAUGUCCAGCUUACAUAGUAUCCUAGGUUUUUUAGUUGAUUUCCUUGUGUCAAUGCACUCAUUAGUUAUUAGGACUGCAUCCAUGAUUUGUCUGCCUUUAAUGAAUGCCAUCUGUUGGGAGUCCACCAGCUUGCUGGUCAUCUUUUUUAGUCUCUCAGUUAGGAACUUGGAGAUGAUCUUGUAUAUACUACAUAUCAAGCUUAUAGGCCUAAAGUCUCUUAACUCUUUGGCUCCCACCUUCUUAGGAAUCAAAGUCACAAAAGUGGCAUUUAUACUCUUUUCAAAGACUCCUUGGCUAUGGAAAUUUAGUACUGCCGCUACUACAUCUUCCCUAACCACACUCCAACACUUGCUAAAAAAAGCCAUUGAAAAACCAUCUGGUCCAGGUGCUUUGUCACCUGCACAUGCCCUGACACUUCAUCCCCGUUAUAUUCGUCAUUGAAAACUUGUUGAAUGUUUUCCAACUCAUUCAAGGUAGUCUCAUGAUCAUGUUGAAAAAGUGGGUUGUUAAUCAUUCGAGGUUCUUGAGGUGGUAUGGGUGGUGGAGUAUAGGGAGAUUGUCCCUCCUUGGUGGUGCUUGAGGCAUAUGUUGUGAAGGUAGAGUUAGUGGUGGUCUAGGUUGUUGUGAAGGUUGAUAAGGUAGUAGUUGAUGUACUUGUGGUGGUUGAAGUGUGGUUGGGGGUUGUAGUUGGUGUUGGUAGUCGGGUGGUGGAUACGAGCAAGGUGCAGUGCAGCAAGCAUCAAAAGACACAUAGAAGCAUCAUAAUCUCCACUUGGACUAGGAGAAGGACUUAUGAAUUGAUUUGCACUCCAAACUCCACUUCCAAUAUCUUGCCUUGCCAAUAACUUAUCCUCAAAAGUAUUUAGGAAUGAAGGAAUGCCCCCGUCGAUUUAUAUCAACAACAUACUUAUUCCAUUCUACAUCAAUCGGAAGAUUAUGAUCAAGAAACAAAGCAUUCCCAAUCGUACAUGCCAAUACUUUAUAGGAUAUACAUCACACCAAACCACUUCUUUAAAGUCUCCUUUGGUUACAGUAACCAUCACACCUCUAUCAACCCACGCGCCACUAAAUUUAUAAGGCGACUCCCUUGGAAUACAACUCAAUCCCAACCAUUCAACAAAGGAAGAAGUAAUAAAGUUGGUCGCAUAGUGAUUACUUAUAGUAACUAAACAACCCUCAUAGCCUUCUACAUUCGCUACAUAAUGCCUCAAAUUUAUGUUUUUCCCACUUUCAUCAUAAAAGAUUUCAACACUGGGAGAAGCACAAUUAGUUUCAUAAGAAGAAGUGCCAUAACCACUCAUACCUCCCUUAUGACUCCUUGUACCUACAAAAGAAAACUUAAAGCAAGAAAGUAGGUCAGUGAAAUAUAGUACCUCACAAUUCAAUCCCUUAGUGUUUCACUCAAUAUAUGUCACUCAACACUCGUGUUUACACUCAGGUCACAGGCUUUUGCGACCUCGCUCAAUUGAACUCACCACUCAAGCCUUUUUUUCUCACAAGGGUUUCUAACAAUUCUCUUCACAACCAACGUUCUCAAAUCAAUCCAAGUAGGUAAUCAAGUAUCGGUUCGAAAUGGAAUUUAUGUGACACCAAAGAAAGCACAACUAAAAGCAAACGGACUUGAGCCAAACAAUUCACAACAAUAAUAAAAGAGAAAAGCACGAAAAAUUGGCACGAAAUAAACAAGGCACAGAAGAAACUAGAAAUAAACUCAAUAUGAACUAAUAUCAAGUUAAUCUAGUUUAGAAUUUAGUUUACUACAAAUCGAAAGAAAGAAAAGAAAAGAAACUACAAAACUAGACUCUUUUUUUCAAAUUUGGGUCAUAUUCGCAAAAUUGGCUAUUUUUGUAAAACAUGUCAUUUUGCAGAACUGGACACAUCUGUAAAAUUCGGACAGGUUUGCAAGGCUGUGCAGGCUAGCAGUAGCUGUUCUGUGCUACUGUUUCUCCGUCAAGUGCAAAAGCUUUAGCCAAUUGUCCCAAGCUAGUGUCUCAAUUCCCUGAAAAAAUAUAGUCUCAAUUCCCUGAAAAUAUAUAGCAAAAGGUGCAGCUAACUGAUCAGCAUACUGCAGUUCAAACUGACUCACACUAGUGCAUCUUGCAGAAGUUACUAGGCAACAAUGUAACUAAUUCAACUGGUGCAAAAUCUUGAACAACUUUUGUUCAUCUGAUUCGGCAAGACUGAAGUUAGUCUUCUGCAGAUGUUCUUGAAUUCUCUGCUGGUGCACAACUUCUGCAGAUCCUGAUCUCUUCCAGACUAACUUUAACACUCUGCAGAAAGGAUGGACUGUAUCUCACCAAAACUGAACUAUUACAGAACCUUUUCCAGCCAAAACACAGCUUCAAAACUGUGGAAAGAAAUCUGGUUUUCUCCAGAAAUAUUUUUGACAGCAGAAUUGCAGUACUGCGGCUUAACAAAGAUCAAAGUUUUCAAGUUCAAAGUUUGGCCAAAGCUAUGUCAAAUAGAUCCAACAACCUACUGAUUUCCCAGCUAAGAUGCUGGCUAAAGCUGCAAAUUUCAGCUGCUCAGCUGGUGCAAAAUACUGAGGAGAACAGGUACACAACUGGUGCACUGUAACCUAGUGCAAAAUUGAUGCCCAGAGCCUUUACAACUGGCUCAAGGUAGAAUUCAAGGCUAGAACUAGCAGCAGCAGCAGUCCUGUAAGUUUCUCCUCAAUUGUGCAGUUUUUUUCUGCUGUUCAAGUUGUUGUAGAUCUUACUGUGGAAUUGCUGCUCAAAUAGUGCAGAAAAUGCUGACAAGUUACUGCUCAAACUGAUCAAAAACAACUUGAUCUUUGGCUAAACCAAAAUAGUCAACCAAGCAAUUUGUUUUCAAUAUGUUGUGUACACAGGGAACAUGGAAAGGAGCUGCAGCUUAAAUGGUUCAAAAACAGCUGAGUACUUCAAUUUCCAGAAGGGUUGUCACAUGCUACAGAAAUCAGCCCAAAGCCAAUGAUUUCCGAACUCAAAAUGCUAUCUAAAGCUGCAAUUUCAGCAGCUCAAAGGUCUAGAGUUAGCAGCUUCCUGUCUUGGUCCAAAACCAAUUCAAUUCACCUCCAAAAAUGUGGAAAAAAGACUGGUUCAAAACAACUGAUGCAAACAGGCUCUGUAGAUUCUAUCAGCCAAAUAAGUCUUCUGGAAAAGAACAAGGCACCACAAACGGGCAACAAGCUGCAGAUGAAACUCAAACAGAGCAGAUUUUUGCUGUCAAAAAUACUACUGAAAAACCUAUCAGAAACAGCCUACACUUCAUCUGUUUGUUGCUCAAAUAGCUGCUAAGACAACUUCAAUAUUCCAGAAUUCCAAUUCUAAAAGAAACAAUUCCAGUAGUAAAACACAAGCUACAGGAAUCCAAUACUCAAGUCGCAAUACAAAGAUGGAUUUUCAAACUUGCAGCAGCUACGACAGAUUUCAGCUCAAUCACAUUCAAUAAGAAUCUCAAUUUGAAGUCACUAAUUCAUUAAUAGGAAGAAGACGAUUAUCAGUUCACAAGGUCGCGCUCACGAAUUCACACAAAGAAUUAUGAACAGCAAAUUCAGUUCACAAGCAGAAGCAAGGAAAAUUGUAGCUCAAAACUCAGAAAAUGCAAGCUUAGAGAAUCAGAAACUUAGUCGUAAUUACCAGCAACAAGAGCAAUAAAGUCCAUCAAACAGUCUCAAUUUGGGUCUCAGAAGUUCGGAAACCAAAUGAAGCUUCACUGUUUAGAAAAUCAAACCUGAAUCAGGGAGGCGAAUUGUUUGUGUGGUGAUGCUCGACUUCAAAUUUUGAACCCAGAAAUUGCAAUAUGUUCUAAGUUUAUCGACUGAAGAACUGGAAGUGUUCUUCGUGCUUUAGCAGCCCCAAGACGAUCCAAUCUCACCCAAAUCUUCACUAAAUAAUUUCAAACUUGAAAUGAUAACUCUAACCAACCCCAAUACCAAACCCCAGUGAUUAAUUUGAGCGAACAACAGCAAAAUCGAAAGAUCUAAAUUCGUCUUCUUCGUCAAACAAUUUGUUCGAAUUUUCUGAAUGAAACCCUAGCAAAACUAGCCCAAAUCGAUCCCACACUUUAGAUUGUGCUUCACAAUGAUUUUUCCAACCAGAAUCAUGAACACCCAAUCGAAUUCAAACUCAAAUCCUCAACGAAAUUCAAAUCUGAGCUAAGUCGAUAAACUUCAAAGUCGCAAAUGGAGAUUUUCAGCAGUGAAACUCGAACUACAAUCCAAGGAAUCCAACGAUUUCCACUUAAAAUCAAUCAAUUUCAGUGGAUUCAAUAAUUUUCUGAAUCAAAAUUUCAAGCACAGAGAGACAUGGAUUUCUAAUUUUAGUCUCAAAAUAGUCAGAUGUACAGUAGUAAUCUUUCCCUUUUUGGAAUUUUCCAUUUAUUUAUUUAUUAUUUUCAGAUUUUGAUGAUAAUCAAAACAAAGACCAAGGAUAGAUACAACAAUCCAAAACCUCCGCUCUGAUACUAAGAUGAUACGAAAUCGUAUAGAGAAUAUAAAUAAUGAAAAAUACACAGAAUCAAAAAGAUAGGAGAUAAGGGUUUAAAAUAGAGAAAUACGAGAACAUAACUAUGAACUAG